AUUUAAGUAGUUUAUUUAAAAUAUUAAUUUGUGGGAUUAAAGAUACUUAUAAGUAAGUUUUAAAUU
rnacentral:tRNA from 1 species